GCGCGUUUAGCUCAGUGGUAGAGCGUUUCAUUGACAUUGAAAAGGUCGGAGGUUCAAUCCCUCCAACGCGCACCA
rnacentral:tRNA from 1 species